UACGUAGGGGGCUAGCGUUGUCCGGAAUCAUUGGGCGUAAAGAGCGUGUAGGCGGCCCGGUAAGUCCGCUGUAAAAGUCUAAGGCUCAACCUUUGAAUGUCAGUGGAUACUGCCGGGCUAGAGUCCGGAAGAGGCGAGUGGAACUCCUGGUGUAGCGGUGGAAUGCGCAGAUAUCAGGAAGAACACCAACGGCGAAGGCAGCUCGCUAGGACGGUACUGACGCUGAGACGCGAAAGCGUGGGGAGCGAACAGG
rnacentral:rRNA from 1 species